rnacentral:rRNA from 1 species
GACGAACGCUGGCGGCGUGCCUAAUACAUGCAAGUCGAGCGAUUAUUCUUGGACCUUGCCCUGAUUUAAAGAGAGGCGAACGGGUGCGUAACGCGGGGGAAAUCUGCCGUAAAGCGCGGGACAACAUUGGGAAACGAAUGCUAAUACCGCCUAAUAACGUUAAACAUAAGUUUCAAGUUUGAAAGAUGCUAUUGCAUCACUCAAAGAUGAUCCCGCGUUGUAUUAGCUAGUUGGUGAGGUAAAGGCUAACCAAGGCGAUGAUACAUAGCCGACCUGAGAGGGUGAUCGGCCACACUGGGACUGAGACACGGCCCAGACUCCUACGGGAGGCAGCAGUAGGGAAUCUUCGGCAAUGGACGAAAGUCUGACCGAGCAACGCCGCGUGAGUGAAGAAGGUUUUCGGAUCGUAAAACUCUGUUGGUAGAGAAGAACGUUGGUGAGAGUGGAAAGCUCAUCAAGUGACGGUAACUACCCAGAAAGGCACGGCUAACUACGUG